rnacentral:lncRNA from 1 species
CGUGCUCUCCAAAGAGUAACUCUUUUCAAAAUCUCAAAAGGUGCCGAUUUGGAAUCCCAUUCUAACUAAGGAUUCUUGUGGUUCCGGAGGAUCCAGCUACAGGAGAACCACGAAUAGAGAGUUUUCCCCCUCCGACUCUUUGGUUUUAACAAUGAGUGAUUACCUAGGUUCUGCUUUCACUAGAUACUCCAAAGCUAAAAUAAAAAAUUGACCCAAGGGACAAGCUCUUUCUCUUCUUAAUUUUUGUCCAAACUAGCCUCUAAGCUAAUCAUUCUUUCUUACUUAACUUUAUGUUGAUACCUUACCCUAGGGUUAGGAGAUGGUUUAAGCCAUGCCUUUACUUGACUUCCUAGACUGGGGUAGGGUAUUACGAAAGGAAGUUGAUCAUGGAUUAUUAGUAAACCUAGAAUUGAUUCUUCUUGGGCCGAUGCUCGAGACAGAGCGUCAUGAGUGGAGGAAUUUUUGACUUACAUCAUGAUAUCUUUUUCCUCUUCAUUCUGAUUUUGGGAAGAAGGGACAACAACCUAAUCCCUACAUCGAUCAUGUGCCAUAAUCCAAUGGCCCACUCUCUUCUUCCUCUUUCUCGUUCGAGUGCCAUAUUUGCAUGCCUUCCUCUCUCCUCUAUCGACUUACCAAUUUUUAUCUUUUGUCUUCUAUCUAAUAUCCAAGAGGUGAAGUAGAGGAGAGAUUCCCUGUUUAAGGGCUGCUCGCCUUUUUGAAUAGAAGGAAGUGGGAUAGCAGAGGUAAUUUCGGUAAACCGAUGCAUGAGCUGAGGCUCCCAUGUCCCGCCGACCCUCCGAAAAAGGUUGGUCGUAAAACGGCUCAUAGGGAGUCAGAAGCAAGCAGAGUCAAAGGCGGGUCAAACUCAC